UCUGAUCAUAUAUACCAUAAAGAGAUCAAUUUCCUUGCAAAUUUUUAAAAUAUAAAAGCUGAUCUCUCAUUGGUCAUAUUUUGCUAAACUUGAUCAAUAAGAACAAAGCCAGUUAUCUUCUUUAUUCUAAAUAGUUGUUAUUGAUCCAUGAGUAACAUAACAUGCUUAUGAUGAUUCUAAAAAAUUGUUAAUUGAGAACUAUUUUUAUACACAUUUCCAACAUUCUCAAUACCAAUCUGUUUCAAUGUUUUGGAUUGAAAUCCUGCUUUAUAUCAAACAUUAAAAGAUUUUCCAAAAAGUAUGCUUUCUUCAUCAUUCUUUAACAUGUUUCAAUGAAAAACUGGUAAUUAUUGGACAAUUAAGUGAUAUUUCGAGAAUUUAAAUUAUAAAUUGAAGAAAACCCUGAAAUGAAAAAUUGGGAAUUGUUUUUAAUGUUUUCAAUUUGUAGGAAAAACUUUACACCCUGUUUUUGAUCGAAAAUGAUUAAUUUGUCUGAAUUUAUCUAUAUGAAACAGUACACCAAUGUAAACAGCUGAAGUUGUACAGUGUACACUGUACAGCGUAUAGCGGCCAUUUUGUUAAAUAUCUUUUACAGAAAAUACAAAUCGAUCGUUCUUAA